rnacentral:rRNA from 1 species
AACGAACGCUGGCGGCAUGCCUAACACAUGCAAGUCGAACGAGAACUUCGGGUCUAGUGGCGCACGGGUGCGUAACGCGUGGGAACCUGCCCUUAGGUUCGGAAUAACUCCCCGAAAGGGGUGCUAAUACCGGAUAAGGUCUUCGGACCAAAGAUUUAUCGCCGUUGGAUGGGCCCGCGUUGGAUUAGCUAGUUGGGAGGGGAAAAGCCUACCAAGGCGACGAUCCAUAGCUGGUCUGAGAGGAUGAUCAGCCACACUGGGACUGAGACACGGCCCAGACUCCUACGGAAGGGAGCAGUGGGGAAUAUUGGACAAUGGGCGAAAGCCUGAUCCAGCAAUGCCGGGUGAGUGAUGAAGGCCUUAGGGUUGUAAAGCUCUUUUACCCGGGAUGAUAAUGACAGUACCGGGAGAAUAAGCACCGGCUAACUCCGUG